UUCCUACGGGGCGCAGCAGUAAGGGAUAUUGGUCAAUGGGGGAAACCCUGAACCAGCAACGCCGCGUGAGGGAAGAAGGCCUUGGGGUCGUAAAGCUGUGUUGCGGGGGAAAAAAGGCAGCAUCAGGAAAUGGGUGCUGACUGAUGGUGCCCCGCCAGAAAGUCACGGCUAACUACGUGCCAGCAGCCGCGGUAAUACGUAGGUGGCGAGCGUUAUCCGGAAUGAUUGGGCGUAAAGCGCUCGUAGGCGGUAUGUCAAGUCAAGGGUGAAAUCCCCGCGCUCAACGUGGGAACUGCCUUUGAAAC
rnacentral:rRNA from 1 species